CUUUGCUCUUUGUAAAAUAUUAAAUAUUCAAUUUUAUUGUAGCAUUUGUGAUCGAUGGUUUCCACGCAGAUGUUUCAUGCCCCCAGACGGGCUCAUGUGUUGUGGUCCAAAGGUUUAGGAGGUCUUCUCUGGUUCUGGGUGCUCUGGAGAUUGAAACACGACUAUCACGACAUCAUAGUAAGUAUUGGAAUUCUUCCUUAUUGUGGAAAUAAGUUAGUUAAUUGGUUAAGCGAAUAAUGUAAUAUGACUUGGUUGAAAACUUUCUCAGACCAGUCUGUACGCUUCUGAAUGGACCUAUUACCUAAUGAACAAAAUUUUGAUCUAGACAAGUAUAGACAAAAAUUUCAUCACGGCUUGAAAGAGCAUCACAAAAUUAGUAAUAUUCCGAAGUUUCGUUGCGAAAUGUUGUAAAAUGCGGAUAAUAUAGCCCUGCGAAAUUUGCCGUUUUUCAGUCAUUUUGUAUUACGCACGGGAAAUUGGUACCUCUUUCUGAAGAAAAGUACCAGUUGGCCGGCACAAAUUUUCCGUCGGAAAAAAAUUUUGAAGUUGAAAAUUUUCAACUUUUUAACAAUGAUAUUUUGGGAAAAUUUUCUGUCCGUAGAAAUUUUUCUUGAGUGGCAAUGGGCCUUUAGCCUGAGAAUGGAAAAGAAAUCAGCAUGCUUUCUGGUCCAGUUCAGGUACCGAUGCGGUUUUGGUACCGAUGCAGUACAAUUUCAAAUUUUGCCUUUCUCUAGGGUCAUCAUCAUGCUCUAGGACCAAUUGAAUUACCACCAGAGGAAGAUGAUUGAAGAUUUAAAGAAAGAACAUUGUUGCCAAGCAGUGGUUUUAUUUAUUGUUCUUUUUUGAAAAUUUGUCAAACUCUAAAUGUUGAAAUAUUUGCACGUAUAGUGAAAGUGAAAUAUGAUUUAUAGAACUCUUGUUUGUUUCAAAUACUAUACUAAAUGAUAAACUGCUGUAUGUCGAUGUUUCCAAACUAAACUAACUUUAUUUAUACUGGA